GACGAACGCUGGCGGCGUGCUUAACACAUGCAAGUCGAACGGAAAGGCCCUGCUUUUGUGGGGUGCUCGAGUGGCGAACGGGUGAGUAACACGUGAGUAACCUGCCCUUGACUUUGGGAUAACUUCAGGAAACUGGGGCUAAUACCGGAUAGGAGCUCCUGCUGCAUGGUGGGGGUUGGAAAGUUUCGGCGGUUGGGGAUGGACUCCCGGCUUAUCAGCUUGUUGGUGGGGUAGUGGCUUACCAAGGGUUUGACGGGUAGCCGGCCUGAGAGGGUGACCGGGCACAAUGGGACUGAGAUACGGCCCAGACUCCUACGGGAGGCAGAGGUGGGGAAUAUUGCACAGUGGGCGGAAGCCUGAUGCAGCAACGCCGCGUGCGGGAUGACGGCCUUCGGGUUGGAAACCGCUUUCGCCUGUGACGAAGCGUGAGUGACGGUAAUGGGUAAAGAAGCACCGGCUAACUACGUG
rnacentral:rRNA from 1 species